AGCGCGCAUGCGUGUGGCGGGGGCGGGGCGCCGCCGCCGCCGUGACGCGCGCAGGUCCUCGCCCGGGUGUUCCUUCCGCCGCCUGUCAGGCGACCGGUGCUGCGGCCCCUGCGGCCGCCCACGGGGCACCUGGGCGCGGAGUACGCGCCACGUUGGCGCCUAGUCCCUGAGGCAGGGACGUCCCGGCCCGGAAAAGAACGCUGUUUAGGCGCGGCCUAACCACCUAAGUGAGGGCACUGAAGCUGCCUGGGGAAGGGCAAGUCCCGCGUCGUCGCGCUCGGGCUCGGAGCCCUGGAUUUGUUUGGGUUAGCGGAGAUUAUAAAAAAGCCAAAACUGGUGAGGAUAGAGACCAAUGCUGGCAGGAAUACAGGGAAAGGGAAAAUCUCAUCCUCAGUUGCUGGAGAAAUAAGUAAAGGGAGGCAUAAAGAAGGUUAGAAACUUGCCCUAAUUCUGUUAGCUCAGAAGUGGAAGAGCUGGGAUUCAAAUCCAGAGAAGUGUCCACUUCAGGGGCUUCCCUGGUGGCGCAGUGGUUGGGAAUCUGCCUGCUGAUGCAGGGGACACGGGUUCGAGCCCUGGUCUGGGAAGAUCCCACAUGCCACGGAGUGGCUGGGCCCGUGAGCCACAACUACUGAGCCUGCGCGUCUGGAGCCUGUGCCCCGCAACGGGAGGGGCCGCGAUGGUGAGAGGCCCGCGCACCGCGAUGAAGAGCGGUCCCCGCACCGCGAUGAAGAGUGGCCCCCGCUUGCCGCAACUGGAGAAAGCCCUCGCACGAACCGAAGACCCAACACAGCCAAAACUAAAUAAAUAAAUAAAUAAAUAAAUAAAGUAGCUAUAAAACGCAGCUUUAAAAAAAAA